rnacentral:tRNA from 1 species
GCCCGGGUGGCUCAGUUGGUUGAGCGGCUGACUUCUGCUCAGGUCAUAAUCUCACUGCUUGUGGGUUCGAGCCCCACGUCGGGCU